rnacentral:lncRNA from 1 species
AUGAUCCCUCUGUCAACAAUCUUACAAAAAACAAACCUCGGCUAUCAAACAUCUAAAAAAUCUCACAAAAUUUCGCAUCGGAUGUACAUGGAUGACCUGAAGCUAUAUGGGAAAAUGGAAACAGAAAUCCAGUCUCUGACUAACACUGUCCAAAUUUUUAGCACUGAUAUCAGCAUGGAGUUUGGUUUGGACAAAUGUUCAACAGUGGCAUUGAAGAAGGGAAAAAUCAUUGAAAGUGAGGGCAUAAAUAUGCCUAAUGGCCAAACAAUAAAGUGUCACCAGCCAGAGGCCUAUAAUUAUCUGGGCAUAUUACAGUUGGACAACAUGAAGCAUGAACAUGUGAAAACUGUGGUCAGCAAAGAAUACACACAAAGGGUCAGAAAAAUUCUCAAAAGCAAGCUCAAUGGAGACAACACCAUCAAGGCCAUAAACGCCUGGGCCAUACCUGUCAUAAGAUAUAAUGCCAGCAGUAUAUCUUAUGACAGGUAUGGCCCAGGUGUUUAUGGCCUUGAUGGUGUUGCCUCCAUUGAGCUUGCUUUUGAGAAUUUUUCUGACCCUUUGUGUGUAUUCUGUGUGAAUUUUCUCAGCUAUGAUGCCAGUCAGUAGUUUAAAUAUAGUGGGCAGACACGUUAUUGGCCUGUAGUUUCCUGGUGCUGCUCCUUUUGCUAGAUCCUUUUGUAUCAGGUAUGUUCUUCCAGUUGUUAGCCAUUCACUGAUACUUCCUUUCAUCUCAUUGAAUUGUUGGGUCAUUUUUCCAUGUAAACUAAUCAGAUAUUUGAGCUAAAAUCCAUGAAGUUGAUCACUACCAGGCAAUGUCCAGUUCUUGACUUUUUGCACUCGUUUGCUGAUCCAUUAGCAUUAAGUGUGAUGUCCCCUGAACCCUUGGGCUGUGAUCCUGCCUCCAUUAUGGACCAAAGUGACGAGGAAAUGGGGUUUGUGCCAAUUCAGCAAGAUUCUGCCCCGUUCCAGAUGCUCCCUAUUGACAAUUCUAGCACACAGCUCAUUAAAAAGGCCCUUUAAACGGAGCCUUCUCCCACCAGUUCCCCUCCCUUUGAUAGACGGAUGUUUUGAGAAACUAGUAGGUUUGAGAAAGCUGGCAGGAGAAGGAGCAUGCGAUUACCAGCUAGAGAAUCUGCUGAUUAACCUGUUUUCCCCUGAGAAUUCUCAGGGAGGAUCGCAUCUGGUUGAAGAUGU